CCUUCGGUAGCUCAGCUGGCAGAGCGGAGGACUGUAGAUCCUUAGGUCGCUGGUUCGAUUCCGGCUCGAAGGA
rnacentral:tRNA from 1 species